UUGUAUUUGAAAUGUCAUUCGUAGUAGAAAUUAUAAUAAAAAAGGAAAGAAAAAUCCUAUUUUUACUUCUCCCACCGCCCUCUCUCCAUCUUGUGCACGUCCAUUCUCUGGAACUCCCACCGCUCAGUCUCAUCUCUAUGCUUAUCCCCACCGUUUCUUCUAGUCUAUGUACGAUGCUCCUUUGUUCUUUAUUCUGAGAUGAGCAUUUCCUGGAAGCACACACGCGCUCUCAUCUCCAGCCAUCCAGACAAACGACCGCGUCGGCAGCAGCAGAGCUCGCUGCCUGUGUCUCUUUCAAGCUCUCGGCGCUAGCUCUUACUAGCAGGCGGCGCCCAGGUCCAGCUCCCUCCAUCGCGUCCUCGCGCUCGCUCCUGACACAGAGUUCCGAGCCAUGUCGGGCCUGUCCUCCAGGCGUGCUCGGCCUUAUAUCAGAUUCCUUGCCUCGACCUCAUCGCAGCAGCAUCGGUGCUCCGUCGUCGCUGAGUUCUCUCGGCGCACUGCGACGUCGUCGUCGUCGUCGUCUCCUCGCCGGCCGUGCUCGACUCCACAGCUCCUUCACGUCGUCGACUUCGAUAACCCACGGCCUCUCCUCCAAUCACAUCGCACUCACUCGCGGUGUCGUCGUGAAGACGCUAGCUGCCUGCCUCGCCGAUCACGUUUUCGGUGAAUCGAUCACUUGGUGAAGCAAUUUUCUAGAGGUUGGUUAUCCCCCAAAAGGCUUGUAGCAUUUUGUUUCUUUUUCAUUUGGCUUUCGCUGCAACAAAGGCAAGCCUCAGUGCAUUCACCAUUUUCCGUGUUCUUUACAAAACUUUUAUCACUUGAUAUAAUGCAUUAUGUGAUAGGAGUUGCGUGAUCAAACAAUUGAUGCAUUAAUUCCUUGAGAAUUUUAAUAAUUAUUCCUUGAUAACUGUUGUAUGAAAAAAUAGUGCUGCUUAUCCCUGCUUAAUGAGAUAGGGUUUUGAAACUUAUUUUGAUUACUGGAUGUUGUUAUUGUUAGAGAAAUAGUCAUUUUUAGUUUUAAUUUAAUCCAGAAAACUAGAGUGAUGUAUGUGCAUGUGUGUAUCACUACUCACAUAAGCAGUAAACAACAGUAAAACAUACACAAUUACUCUGAACAUAAUGUACCCUGUGGAGGGAUCGUUGCUCAAGGCAUUAGUGGCUCCAUUCACAUGAGACAUCUCGUGUGUAUGUUCGAUGUAGUCGCACGUAGUCGAUGGAGGUAGAUGUACACAGUGUAGCCCCUCGAACGGCGUCGGCGUCGAGGAACCUGAUCAGCGUUGAUCGAGCGGACGAAGCGAGCAGUCGCGAGUACGCUCCCCAAAAACAUGAUCGCCCGCACACCUGUGCAAGUGUAGCUCUAUGGAUGGUGAUUUCAGAGGCAUGCUCUCCCAUACUCUUUGUGCUCGUAGAAGGUGGGACGAGAAUGGCUGUGUGCAACGCGUCUGAGACUGUUCGUACGUGCUAUAAUCAGAAGCAGCCUACCCUCCUCCAUAUAUUUACAUGCGCAGAGGGAGGCGAAUGGACGAUAACGGUCGUCAUCAGAGCUACCAUUACAAAUGUAACACCCCUGGUGUUACUGUCACUAAAACUUGAGCAUAACAUCAUGAGCAUUAGC